rnacentral:rRNA from 1 species
UUAUUUGAAAGGGGCAAUUGCUCCACUACAAGAUGGACCUGCGUUGUAUUAGCUAGUAGGUGAGGUAAUGGCUCACCUAGGCGACGAUACAUAGCCCACCUGAGAGGGUGAUCGGCCACACUGGGACUGAGACACGGCCCAGACUCCUACGGGAGGCAGCAGUAGGGAAUCUUCGGCAAUGGGGGCAACCCUGACCGAGCAACGCCGCGUGAGUGAAGAAGGUUUUCGGAUCGUAAAGCUCUGUUGUAAGUCAACAACGGGUGUGAGAGUGGAAAGUUCACACUAUGACGGUGACUUACCAGAAUGGGACGGCUAACUACGUGCCAGCAGCCGCGGUAAUACAUAGGUCCCGAGCGUUGUCCGGAUUUAUUGGGCGUAAAGCGAGCGCAGGCGGUUUGAUAAGUCUGAAGUUAAAGGCUGUGGCUCAACCAUAGUUCGCUUUGGAAACUGUCAAACUUGAGUGCAGAAGGGGAGAGUGGAAUUCCAUGUGUAGCGGUGAAAUGCGUAGAUUUAUGGAGGAACACCGGUGGCGAAAGCGGCUCUCUGGUCUGUAACUGACGCUGAGGCUCGAAAGCGUGGGGAGCGAACAGGAUUAGAUACCCUGGUAGUCCACGCCGUAAACGAUGAGUGCUAGGUGUUGGAUCCUUUCCGGGAUUCAGUGCCGCAGCUAACGCAUUAAGCACUCCGCCUGGGGAGUACGACCGCAAGGUUGAAACUCAGAAGAAUUGACGGGGGCCCGCACAAGCGGUGGAUCAUGUGGUUUAAUUCGAAGCAACGCGAAGAACCUUACCAGGUCUUGACAUCCCGAUGCUAUUUCUAGAGAUAGACAGUUACUUCGGUACAUCGGUGACAGGUGGUGCAUGCUGUCAUCAGCUCGUGUCGUGAGAUGUUGGGUUAAUCCCGCAUCGAGCGCAACCCCUAUUGUUACUGCCAUCAUUCAAUUGGCACUCUAG